rnacentral:rRNA from 1 species
GAUGAACGCUGGCGGCGUGCCUAAUACAUGCAAGUCGAGCGAAUGGAGUGAGAGCUUGCUCUUAUGAAGUUAGCGGCGGACGGGUGAGUAACACGUGGGUAACCUGCCCAUAAGACUGGGAUAACUCCGGGAAACCGGGGCUAAUACCGGAUAACAUUUUGAACCGCAUGGUUCGAAAUUGAAAGGCGGCUUCGGCUGUCACUUAUGGAUGGACCCGCGUCGCAUUAGCUAGUUGGUGAGGUAACGGCUCACCAAGGCAACGAUGCGUAGCCGACCUGAGAGGGUGAUCGGCCACACUGGGACUGAGACACGGCCCAGACUCCUACGGGAGGCAGCAGUAGGGAAUCUUCCGCAAUGGACGAAAGUCUGACGGAGCAACGCCGCGUGAGUGAUGAAGGCUUUCGGGUCGUAAAACUCUGUUGUUAGGGAAGAACAAGUGCUAGUUGAAUAAGCUGGCACCUUGACGGUACCUAACCGGAAAGCCACGGCUAACUACGUGCCAGCCGCCGCCGUAA